GACGAACGCUGGCGGCGUGCUUAACACAUGCAAGUCGAACGGAAGGGCCCUGCUUUUGUGGGGUGCUCGAGUGGCGAACGGGUGAGUAACACGUGAGUAACCUGCCCUUGACUUUGGGAUAACUUCAGGAAACUGGGGCUAAUACCGGAUAGGAGCUCCUGCUGCAUGGUGGGGGUUGGAAAGUUUCGGCGGUUGGGGAUGGACUCGCGGCUUAUCAGCUUGUUGGUGGGGUAGUGGCUUACCCAGGCUUUGACGGGUAGCCGGCCUGAGAGGGUGACCGGCCACAUUGGGACUGCGAUACGGACCAGACUCCUACGGGAGACAGCAGUGGGGAAUAUUGCACAAUGGGCGGAAGCCUGAUGCAGCAACGCCGCGUGCGGGAUGACGGCCUUCGGGUUGUAAACCGCUUUCGCCUGUGACGAAGCGUGAGUGACGGUAAUGGGUAAAGAAGCACCGGCUAACUACGUG
rnacentral:rRNA from 1 species